AGUGGGCCUCGUACUUGGAUGGGGCGGGAAAUCUAAGGGUGGGAGCUGGGGAGCCGGCAUGCUGUGAGCUGGAAGGACGGAGAGUCAGGAGGAUCACGCUUCAUGGAGGUUGGGGACUACAGCCUGACCACUUUAGGAUACGGUAUAUUCAGAUCAGCCACUUUGCCCUCUGUGAGCCUCCAGUUUCCUCAGAUAAUUGGGUAGUGAGGAUAAAUCCAAAAGAAGCAUGUUAAUCAUCUGGCACAUCACAAGAGGUCUGAAAAUUCAGAGCUUCCUGAGGAACUAAGCUGUACUAAGCAGCAGCAGCAGCGUGGAGCUCACCUGGAAGCUGGCUAGAGCAGCUGAACCAGAGCCUGCCUGUCAACGUCUCCCCAGGUGACCUUGUUGCCCUGAGUGUCUGAGUGUCCAAGCCACCUUUAUCAGGCAUUCCUAUCUCUGUUUUCCUUGGGAAAAGUCUGAGGCUUGGAGACCAUUAGCAGUCAGGUCCUCCUCCUGAAGCUCCACAGUCCUCUUAAGGGCCAUUUUGAGAGCUGGUCUAGGAAAGAACUGACAAGAGGAUCCUGUUAGUCACUCGCCCAGCAGCAUUUUCCAAGCCCCGCUAUGAGGAAAGCACACGAAGAGCCCUGAGGGCACAAACAUGAGCAAGACGUUUGUACCCCGCCUUCCCCACAAAGGUAAACACGCGAUAUGUAACGAUAAUUACACAUGGUGGUAAG